rnacentral:rRNA from 1 species
UACGUAGGGGGCAAGCGUUGUCCGGAAUUAUUGGGCGUAAAGCGCGCGCAGGCGGUUCGUUAAGUCUGAUGGUAAAGCCCGGGGCUCAACCCCGGUAUUCAUUGGAAACUGGCAAACUGGAGUGCAGGAGAGGGAAGCGGAAUUCCACGUGUAGCGGUGAAAUGCGUAGAGAUGUGGAGGAACACCGAUGGCGAAGGCAGCCCCCUGGGUCAAGACUGACGCUCAUGCACGAAAGCGUGGGGAGCAAACAGG